CACCUCUCAGAGUCGCACCUGGAGAGUUUCCAGUCCUCUACCAGUCUCGACUACGGGAGGGAGAGUCAAGCUGAGGCCUACCCAUUCCAUUCCUAGCUUGGCCUGUCGCUAGCAAGUGGAAGGUUAUCCACUACAAGU